rnacentral:lncRNA from 1 species
AUGUUUCCCUUUUAUGCAGGUAUGCAAUGGCAAGCCCUUCCGUGUGUUCCAAAGACAAUGCCUACGCCUAGCCACAGCAGCUCCCUCAUACAGACUCCGCAAGCCAAGAGGCCGUGGAGGCAAAUGCAGGCAGCCAGCACACCUCGAACAGCCACCUUGACUGCGGGUGUGUCACCCUAGUCGCCAAGGAAACAUUUGAGGGAAAGCGACAGGCAAUGUGAACAGCCACUUCUCCAUGUAAACAAUACUCUUUCUCUCGGACGA